AAUAAAGUUACGAAUCAAAUCGUGAGGAGGUGGCAAAUUCAAGGAUGAAAGUGUAACUUUUGUUAUAAAUAUAUAAGACCAUUAUUUGACUUUUAAAAUCAGAAUAUUCAGAUAUCAAAUUCAGCUCUCAACCUCCAUCUUCAUCAACCUUAGAAACCUAAACACAUAAAAAUUUCAAAUAGCCAUAACUCCCUCAUUUUAACUCGGAAUUGAUCGAUUCUUGCGGCCACGGAACGAGCACGAGGUCCUCUAUCAUUCAAGCCCAGAAAAUCAAGGCAUCGACAAACUACGGACUUGACGAUUUUGGCUAAGGGGUUCGGCCAAGACAAGGGAAUCGCAAAAGAAUUGGAAUAGCAAGUAGUACCUAGACUUGGAGACUAAAAGUCCAUCAAUUUGCCGGAAGUUUGUUUAGCUAUGUACAGUCCGACUUCCGCGACCGCUGCAGUAGUACAUUGUGUGACCAGUCAUGACCUAGGACAAUAUUAUAGUUUUGGAAAAUGUUUAUAACAAUGUUAGAUAUACAUAGUCAGUGUUUAUAAAAUGGCUAGUAAUGUUUUCAUAAUUAAAUGCUUCCGUGUUAUAACAUAAUUGCGAAAAAUUUAUAGUGAAUUUCAGGCUUGCUACGGGAUUCGGAACUACAAUUCCCAUUCCCUAGCGCUGGUCGCGGCCCUCGAUUUUGGGUCGUGACAAAGUUGGUAUCAGAGCAGUUGGUCCAGUUACCACUGCCAGUCUUUGAAAAGUGUCUGUUGACCCUAAGUACCUAGGAACUACUGCAGCGUAUAGAGUGGAGCCUUAUUGACUAUAUGUGUUUGAUUGAAAUGUUUGUGUCGUUUUGCUUUAAUAUGCGAUAGAUUUGAUUCACGUGUUCACGUGAAUAGUAUAAGU